GUACUCCGGGGAUAACAGGCUGAUACCGCCCAAGAGUUCAUAUCGACGGCGGUGUUUGGCACCUCGAUGUCGGCUCAUCACAUCCUGGGGCUGAAGUAGGUCCCAAGGGUAUGGCUGUUCGCCAUUUAAAGUGGUACGCGAGCUGGGUUUAGAACGUCGUGAGACAGUUCGGUCCCUAUCUGCCGUGGGCGCUGGAGAACUGAGGGGGGCUGCUCCUAGUACGAGAGGACCGGAGUGGACGCAUCACUGGUGUUCGGGUUGUCAUGCCAAUGGCACUGCCCGGUAGCUAAAUGCGGAAGAGAUAAGUGCUGAAAGCAUCUAAGCACGAAACUUGCCCCGAGAUGAGUUCUCCCUGACCCUUUAAGGGUCCUGAAGGAACGUUGAAGACGACGACGUUGAUAG
rnacentral:rRNA from 1 species